rnacentral:rRNA from 1 species
UACGUAGGGAGCAAGCGUUGUCCGGAAUCAUUGGGCGUAAAGCGCGCGUAGGCGGCCCCGUAAGUCCGCUGUGAAAGUCAAAGGCUCAACCUUUGAAAGCCGGUGGAUACUGUGGGACUAGAGUACGGAAGAGGCGAGUGGAAUUCCUGGUGUAGCGGUGGAAUGCGCAGAUAUCAGGAGGAACACCAAUAGCGAAGGCAGCUCGCUGGGACGUUACUGACGCUGAGGCGCGAAAGCGUGGGGAGCGAACAGG